GACCUAGCAACUUGGAAUUAGCCCACUGUUACUUGCCCGUCUAAGCAACAGCCCUAGAAUCUCCGAGAUACAAAACCAAAUAUUAUCCAUCAGUCAUCAGUUCCUUCAUAAUAGGACAAAUGAAGAACUGUUAUUGGAAGAUUAUACGGUUGCUUAAAGCCUUUCAGGUAAAAUUUUAUAGAAGGCAACUAUCAUUGUUGCUAAAUAAUGCAGAUAACAAAAACUGCAUCAUAUAGUUUGCAGCACUGCAACCACAACAACUGCUAUUUAAAACCAUGGAUGUAAAGUUGGAGAUGGGUCUGAAUUUUAUUUUGUUUUAUUUUUUGGAAGAUUUGAAAUGGUUAUAUAUAAAUUACAUUUUCUUUCUUCGCUUUUAGCUUUGUUCUUCUCUUCCAAAUGGCUAGGGCACUCUUUCUUCAACCUUUAAAUUAAAGCCAUAAUGAAAGAGAGAUGACAGUUCUUUUCACAUUCCUUAAGGCUGGAUUUGGUGCAAGGGAUAGGACAAGACAAAUAGUUAUGUCUUAUGUCUUGUCCACUAAACCAAACGCACCCUGACAUUCAUUCUUCGCGUUUCUUCAUGGCAUGGGACAUUAUGGUUUGGACUUAUGCAGAUUCUGAUACCUUUUCUUGCAAGUAUUUUCCAUCAUUUCUUGUGCAUGCUCUUAAAUCAAAUCAUUUUCCUCUAGCCACAUAAAACUAAAAAUUUAUUGCGCUUAUGAUGACCACAUAAAACUAGAUUUGCUCAUGCAUUUGUGAUGUGAUUCAGCAACUAUGAGACUCAAGCCCAUCUUUUCUCACACUGCUCUAUUUCUAGGCAUCUUUGUAAUAGGAAAUUUUGAUAUAUUUAAGGAAACAAUGUAGAUUUGGCCACAUAACUCUUGAAAUUUUUUGUUCAUUCAUUUCACGAGCUUUAGGAGGGACAACUAUGAGAAUUGAGAAGCUCCAUUAGAGAUUUUCUAUUUUUGCAGUUGUAGUGUAUUUGGAUGUGAUGCAGGAUGGAAGCAUGGUAACAAGGCUAGGACACGUCUACACCUCAAAGGCUUAGACAUUCUUGAAUGCACAAGGAGAAAAAAAUUCUGGAGUCCAGUGGAGUGUAAAAAAAAAAUUAUUUAAUUAUCACUAUCUUCCACAAAAAUUACAUAAGAUGCCGAUUUAGUAUUCAUAAGAACAGAAGUCCUAGUUUUACUUGGACAAAUUUAUUAAAACAUGAGUCCUAAAAUUACUAGAAAUACUUUAAAUACAAGGAAAUAAAACCUAAACUAACUAAACUAGUAAACUACUACUACAACAACAACUAAGCCUUAAU
rnacentral:misc_RNA from 1 species